rnacentral:rRNA from 1 species
CUACGGGACGCUCCAGUGGGGAAUAUUGGGCAAUGGGCGCAAGCCUGACCCAGCAACGCCGCGUGAGGGAAGAAGGUUCUCGGAUUGUAAACCUCUGUCCUUGGGGACGAAGAAAGUGACGGUACCCAAGGAGGAAGCUCCGGCUAACUACGUGCCAGCAGCCGCGGUAAUACGUAGGGAGCAAGCGUUGUCCGGAAUUACUGGGCGUAAAGGGUGCGUAGGCGGCAUAUUAAGUCAGGUGUGAAAUAUUCGGGCUCAACCCGAAGGGUGCAUUUGAAACUGGUAUGCUUGAGUGUGAGGAGGAAAGUGGAAUUCCUAGUGUAGCGGUGAAAUGCGUAGAUAUUAGGAGGAACACCAGUGGCGAAGGCGACUUUCUGGCUCAUAACUGACGCUGAGGCACGAAAGCGUGGGUAGCAAACAGGAUUAGAUACCCCGGUAGUC